rnacentral:rRNA from 1 species
GAUGAACGCUGGCGGCGUGCCUAAUACAUGCCAGUCGAGCGAACGGACGAGAAGUUCGUUUCUCUUAUGUUAGCGGCGGACGGGGGAGUAAUACGUGGAUAGCCUACCUAUAUGACUGGGAUAACUUCGGGAAACCGGAGCUAAUACCGGAUAAUAUUUUGAACCGCAUGGUUCAAAAGUGAAAGAAGGUCUUUCUGUCACUUAUAGAUGGAUCCGCGCUGCAUUAGCUAGUUGGUGAGGUAACGGCUUACCAAGGCAACGAUGCAUAGCCGACGUGAGGGGGUGAGCGGCCACGCUGGCACUGAGACAGGGUCCAGACUCCUACGGGAGGCAGCAGUAGGGAAUCUUGCGCAAUGGGCGAAAGCCUGACGGAGCAGCGCCGCGUGAGUGAUGAAGGUCUUCGGAUCGUAAAACUCUGUUAUUAGGGAAGAACAUAUGUGUAAGUAACUGUGCACAUCUUGACGGUACCUAAUCAGAAAGCCACGGCUAACUACGUG